rnacentral:rRNA from 1 species
GGCGAGUGGCGAACGGGUGAGUAAUACAUCGGAACGUGUCCUGGAGUGGGGGAUAGCCCGGCGAAAGCCGGAUUAAUACCGCAUACGCUCUGUGGAGGAAAGCGGGGGAUCUUUCGGGACCUCGCGCUCAAGGGGCGGCCGAUGGCAGAUUAGGUAGUUGGUGGGGUAAAGGCCUACCAAGCCGACGAUCUGUAGCUGGUCUGAGAGGACGACCAGCCACACUGGGACUGAGACACGGCCCAGACUCCUACGGGAGGCAGCAGUGGGGAAUUUUGGACAAUGGGCGCAAGCCUGAUCCAGCAAUGCCGCGUGUGUGAAGAAGGCCUUCGGGUUGUAAAGCACUUUUGUCCGGAAAGAAAACCUCUGGGUUAAUACCCCGGGGGGAUGACGGUACCGGAAGAAUAAGCACCGGCUAACUACGUGCCAGCAGCCGCGGUAAUACGUAGGGUGCGAGCGUUAAUCGGAAUUACUGGGCGUAAAGCGUGCGCAGGCGGUGAUGUAAGACCGAUGUGAAAUCCCCGGGCUUAACCUGGGAACUGCAUUGGUGACUGCAUCGCUCGAGUAUGGCAGAGGGGGGUAGAAUCCACGUGUAGCAGUGAAAUGCGUAGAGAUGUGGAGGAAUACCGAUGGCGAAGGCAGCCCCCUUGGGUCAUACUGACGCUCAUGCACGAAAGCG